rnacentral:rRNA from 1 species
UGCCCGCAAGGAAAUGUAGUGAGAGGUGCUGCAUGGCUGUCGUCAGCUCGUGUUGUGAAAUGUAGGGUUAAGUCUCGCAACGAGCGCAACCCCUAUCGUCUGUUGCCAGCAUUAAGUUGGGCACUCUGACGAGACUGCCUGGGUUAACCAGGAGGAAGGUGGGGAUGACGUCAAGUCCUCAUGGCCCUUAUGUCUAGGGCUACACACGUAAUACAAUGGCGCGUACAAAGGGAAGCGAACCUGCAAAGGGGAGCAAAUCUCAAAAAGCGCGUCUCAGUUCGGAUUGGAGUCUGCAACUCGACUCCAUGAAGUUGGAUCGCUAGUAAUCGGAGAUCAGCACGCUCC